rnacentral:rRNA from 1 species
AACGAACGCUGGCGGCAGGCUUAACACAUGCAAGUCGAGCGCCCCGCAAGGGGAGCGGCCGACGGGUGAGUAACGCGUGGGAACGUACCCUUAUCUUCGGGAUAGCUCCGGGAAACUGGAAUUAAUACCGAAUGUGCCCUUUGGGGGAAAGAUUUAUCGGAUAAGGAUCGGCCCGCGUUGGAUUAGCUAGUUGGUGGGGUAAAGGCCUACCAAGGCGACGAUCCAUAGCUGGUCUGAGAGGAUGAUCAGCCACAUUGGGACUGAGACACGGCCCAAACUCCACGGGGGGGCGGCGGGGGGGAAUUUGGGAAAGGGGGCGCAGGCCUGAUCCGCCCAUGCCGGGGGAGGAAUGAGGGCUUUGGGGUUGAAAAGCUUUUUCACCGGGAAAAAAAAGGCGGGAACCGGGGAAAAAAGCCCCGGCUAACUUGGU